AGCGAACGCUGGCGGCAGGCUUAACACAUGCAAGUCGAGCGGGCGUAGCAAUACGUCAGCGGCAGACGGGUGAGUAACGCGUGGGAACGUACCUUUUGGUUCGGAACAACCCAGGGAAACUUGGGCUAAUACCGGAUAAGCCCUUACGGGGAAAGGAUUUAUCGCCGAAAGAUCGGCCCGCGUCUGAUUAGCUAGUUGGUGGGGUAAGUGGCCUACCAAGGCGACGAUCCAUAGCUGGUCUGAGAGGAUGAUCAGCCACAUUGGGACUGAGACACGG
rnacentral:rRNA from 1 species